CGGGGUGAGUAAUGUCUGGGAAACUGCCUGAUGGAGGGGGAUAACUACUGGAAACGGUAGCUAAUACCGCAUAACGUCGCAAGACCAAAGAGGGGGACCUUCGGGCCUCUUGCCAUCGGAUGUGCCCAGAUGGGAUUAGCUAGUAGGUGGGAUAACGGCUCACCUAGGCGACGAUCCCUAGCUGGUCUGAGAGGAUGACCAGCCACACUGGAACUGAGACACGGUCCAG
rnacentral:rRNA from 1 species